rnacentral:rRNA from 1 species
CUACGUGCCAGCAGCCGCGGUAAUACGUAGGGGGCAAGCGUUAUCCGGAAUUACUGGGUGUAAGGGAGCGUAGGCGGCAUGGUAAGCCAGAUGUGAAAGCCUUGGGCUUAACCCGAGGAUUGCAUUUGGAACUAUCAAGCUAGAGUACAGGAGAGGAAAGCGGAAUUCCUAGUGUAGCGGUGAAAUGCGUAGAUAUUAGGAAGAACACCAGUGGCGAAGGCGGCUUUCUGGACUGAAACUGACGCUGAGGCUCGAAAGCGUGGGGAGCA